rnacentral:rRNA from 1 species
UACGUAGGGGGCUAGCGUUGUCCGGAAUCAUUGGGCGUAAAGAGCGCGUAGGCGGCUAGAUAAGUCCGGUGUGAAAGUCACAGGCUCAACCUGUGAAUGCCGCUGGAAACUGUCUGGCUAGAAGUCCGGAAGGGGCGAGUGGAAUUCCUGGUGUAGCGGUGAAAUGCGUAGAGAUCCGGAGGAACCCCAGAGGCGAAGGCGGCGUUCUGGCUCGCAACUGACGCUCAGACACGACAGCAUGGGGAGCGAACGGG